rnacentral:rRNA from 1 species
CGAGACUCAGUGAAAUUGAACUCGCUGUGAAGAUGCAGUGUACCCGCGGCAAGACGGAAAGACCCCGUGAACCUUUACUAUAGCUUGACACUGAACAUUGAGCCUUGAUGUGUAGGAUAGGUGGGAGGCUUUGAAGUGUGGACGCCAGUCUGCAUGGAGCCGACCUUGAAAUACCACCCUUUAAUGUUUGAUGUUCUAACGUGGACCCGUAAUCCGGGUUGCGGACAGUGUCUGGUGGGUAGUUUGACUGGGGCGGUCUCCUCCUAAAGAGUAACGGAGGAGCACGAAGGUUGGCUAAUCCUGGUCGGACAUCAGGAGGUUAGUGCAAUGGCAUAAGCCAGCUUGACUGCGAGCGUGACGGCGCGAGCAGGUGCGAAAGCAGGUCAUAGUGAUCCGGUGGUUCUGAAUGGAAGGGCCAUCGCUCAACGGAUAAAAGGUACUCCGGGGAUAACAGGCUGAUACCGCCCAAGAGUUCAUAUCGACGGCGGUGUUUGGCACCUCGAUGUCGGCUCAUCACAUCCUGGGGCUGAAGUAGGUCCCAAGGGUAUGGCUGUUCGCCAUUUAAAGUGGUACGCGAGCUGGGUUUAGAACGUCGUGAGACAGUUCGGUCCCUAUCUGCCGUGGGCGCUGGAGAAUUGAGGGGGGCUGCUCCUAGUACGAGAGGACCGGAGUGGACGCAUCACUGGUGUUCGGGUUGUCAUGCCAAUGGCACUGCCCGGUAGCUAAAUGCGGAAGAGAUAAGUGCUGAAAGCAUCUAAGCACGAAACUUGCCCCGAGAUGAGUUCUCCCUGACUCCUUGAGAGUCCUGAAGGAACGUUGAAGACGACGACGUUGAUAGGCCGGGUGUGUAAGCGCAGCGAUGCGUUGAGCUAACCGGUACUAAUGAACCGUGAGGCUUAACCUUACAACGCCGAAG